CCAUUCAGCAAGAUAUAAUAUUUUAUCAUUUGUAAAUAUAUUAUCAAGAUGCAUGGGGUUAUCGGUAAACUGAAAAUAAAUUGGGAAAGAAACACAAUAAUGGAAGAAGUAGAAACACGUCGGUAUCAAGCACAGUCUUUUAAUUUGCUUUGACCUCCCUCCUCCCGCUCUCGCUCCUUGCCAUUGCUCUCCUUCCUCGCAAAGCCCUAGCUUUCUUCUCUUCCCCCUCUC
rnacentral:lncRNA from 1 species